rnacentral:rRNA from 1 species
GACGAACGCUGGCGGCGCUCCUAACACAUGCAAGUCGAACGAGCGAGAGAGAGCUUGCCUUCUCGAGCGAGUGGCGAACGGGUGAGUAACGCGUGAGGAACCUGCCUCAAAGAGGGGGACAACAGUUGGAAACGACUGCUAAUACCGCAUAAGCCCACAGGUCGGCAUCGACCAGAGGGAAAAGGAGCAAUCCGCUUUGAGAUGGCCUCGCGUCCGAUUAGCUAGUUGGUGAGGUAACGGCCCACCAAGGCGACGAUCGGUAGCCGGACUGAGAGGUUGAACGGCCACAUUGGGACUGAGACACGGCCCAGACUCCUACGGGAGGCAGCAGUGGGGAAUAUUGCACAAUGGGGGAAACCCUGAUGCAGCGACGCCGCGUGGAGGAAGAAGGUCUUCGGAUUGUAAACUCCUGUUGUUGAGGAAGAUAAUGACGGUACUCAACAAGGAAGUGACGGCUAACUACGUGCCAGCAGCCGCGGUAAAACGUAGGUCACAAGCGUUGUCCGGAAUUACUGGGUGUAAAGGGAGCGCAGGCGGGAAGACAAGUUGGAAGUGAAAUCUAUGGGCUCAACCCAUAAACUGCUUUCAAAACUGUUUUUCUUGAGUAGUGCAGAGGUAGGCGGAAUUCCCGGUGUAGCGGUGGAAUGCGUAGAUAUCGGGAGGAACACCAGUGGCGAAGGCGGCCUACUGGGCACCAACUGACGCUGAGGCUCGAAAGUGUGGGUAGCANACAGG